GACGAACGCUGGCGGCGCGCCUAACACAUGCAAGUCGAGCGAGAACCGGGGCUUCGGCCCCGGGGACAGCGGCGAACGGGUGAGUAACACGUGGAUAACCUGCCCUCGGCACCGGAAUAGCCCGGGGAAACUCGGAUUAAUGCCGGAUAGCCCCACAUCCCUGCGGGGAACGUGGGAAAAGGUAGCUUCGGCCUCUGGCCGGGAUGGGUCCGCGGUGGCUUAGCUUGGUGGCGGGGUAACGGCCCACCAAGGCGACGAGUCAUAGCUGGUCUGAGAGGACGAGCAGCCACAGUGGGACUGGGACACGGCCCAGACUCCUACGGGAGGCAGCAGUGGGGAAUCUGGCGCAAUGGGCGAAAGCCUGACGCAGCGGCGCCGCGUGCGGGAAGAAGGCCGUAGGGUUGUAAAGCGCUUUCAGGGGAGACGAAGCCACUCGGGUUAAUAGCCCAGAGGGUGACGGUACCUCCAGAAGAAGCCCCGGCUAACUACGUGCCAGCAGCCGCAGUAACAC
rnacentral:rRNA from 1 species